AGUGUGUUGGUCACCGCUUGUCACCGUUAUACUGCAGGUCAUGUAUUGUUUAGUGUCUUUGCUGGCAUGCAUCUAACAUUGUUUUAUUUACAUGCUAAAAUCGCCACUGUGUCAACGACACUUUUAACAAAAUUAUUUGGGGAGUUUUUGUUGUUGCUGAACAUUUCCGAUAUUCCGUAACCCGGAAGUACUUUUGUUUUGUAACGUCGCUGGUAAAGAAACCGAUCAACACUUCAAAACGUUUUUCCUUCUUUCUCGUAAAAAUGGUCAACGACUAAGAUUAAUAAUCGUAAUCGGCAAUGUCUGAACUAGUGAGACUGCUGUCGUCUUCUCCCAACACUGACCUGUCUACUGGGAUGGCCUCUGCACCACCACUACUGCAGCAGCCUGCUGCUGCCAACACAACCCAAGGUCAGAGAAUAACAUGCACGUUAUAUGGUUGCCAUCGUGUCUACACGGACACAGACAGCCUGGCCAAACACAUCAAGGACCACCAGAAUCACAUCCCUACUCAGUCCCUCCCAGGUAAAGUUUUCCUCUGCUCCUCUAUCGGCUGCAACGGCUCCUUUCCCAGCAUGCAACAUCUGAUGGAACACAUGAGACAGCACCACAAACCCAACACGUACUUCCUGUGUCAGAGUUGUCGGUCCAAGCUGCGCUCCUACCGUGCCCUCCUCAAACAUCUCCACACCUGCGCUAAGGUGGCUAAGAGCAAGGCCAAGGCUGGCGAGCAGGCAGAGGUCAUGCCUGACCCUGACCCCGACGCUGCCGUUCCCAUGGCUACAGACCAGGAGACCCCACAGCAGCAAGAGCCCAUGGAGUCCGAGCCCUCUCACCCUAUCCCUGGGUCCACUGGGUCUGAACAUCUCUCUGCCCUGGCUCCCUCCCCUUACCAGCCCCCGGAGGAUGGAUCUCUCCUCGGCCUGGACCUCAACUCGGCCUUGCUCCCUGGGGCUUCCUCCCUCCAGGAGGGAGGUGUUGGUGGUGGUGGAUUGUCAGUCGCCCAGCCCCCAAGCCUCACAGAGCAGCUCCCCGAGGGAUCUUUCGGUUCCUUCUCACAGUACCUUCAAUCUCCACUGGAAGUUUCUGGAUCGGCGCUACAGCAACAGAGAUCUCCCAGGCCCGUCCCUUCUGCUCUAGCUUCCUCUACGCCACCCCAAACCUCCACCGCGCCCGUCUCGAACGCUCGCUGGAGGAAGAAUCAAGACGCUCCUCUAAGUCACAGAUGGGCCUCUCCUCCAGCCAGUCACAGGUUAUCUAGAGAUGGAGCACAGGUCAAUCCUUCAACGGCCGUAUUCUAUGGAAACACACCAAGGGGCGCUACAGCUGUGUCCAGUGUGGCCACUCCACCCCAAACAGGAAGGAGAUGACUGCCCACAUCAAGGGCCAACACAAGAGCCCUGCUGCCAGGCCUGGUAACGACACGGACGGCCAUGUGCCCUCUUCACAGACUAAAGUGUCUUCAGCUACGGAGGCCAACACCUACACCUGUCUCUGACUCCACGCCCACACGAGAGAGGACCGUUCAAUAAUAUGGCGUUAGUGGAACUAGUUUCAUCACCUUUUUUUUUUAUUUUCCUGUGAAAAGUGAUUCAUUUCAAUAAACAUAAUUAAACUUGA